UACGGGGGGGGCAAGCGUUGUUCGGAAUUACUGGGCGUAAAGGGCUCGUAGGCGGCCAACUAAGUCAUACGUGAAAUCCCUCGGCUUAACCGGGGAACUGCGUCUGAUACUGGAUGGCUUGAGUUCGGGAGAGGGAUGCGGAAUUCCAGGUGUAGCGGUGAAAUGCGUAGAUAUCUGGAGGAACACCGGUGGCGAAGGCAGCCCCCUGGGCCAAUACUGACGCUCAUGCACGAAAGCGUGGGGAGCAAACAGG
rnacentral:rRNA from 1 species